UUCAGAAGCAGAGGAAAGUUAGAGAUGAGUGGUGGUGCCAGCACUCACCCUCUGGACUCUGGAGCUGUGUGAAAGUAGAGGUUCUUGCCAGAUCCUGCAUUAAGACUGCAUGUACAAUACAGCCAAAGUGUUGGGUUUUACAGACUGAAAGAUGCUGCCUGAUGCUACCAUUUCCCUGUGCACUGUUUCCCAGACUCCCAGUGGGCAAUGUCAUUAUCAGACCUGUGGGCAGCCAUCAAUCACCUUAUGAUCUCCAAGUCAUGGAUCACUGCUGUUAGGAUCUUACUAGAUUGUGCUAAAGAAAAACACUGAAAUUCUUUGAAAGAGAUGACAUUUUACCUGGAGAAAGAUAAUACAAUAAAGGAAGCUAUCAACAACAAUAAAUGGGCAAAGAAUACACUUCUGAAACAAAAUCUAACAAGAAGAAUGCAGAGCUCUUUUAAACAAUGCAGGCUACUGGAUUAUGUUUUCUUAUUUAUGUAGUGUGUUAUUUGUUUUUUCUUACUUAACCCAAAUGCUUUCAAGGGUAUUAAUAUCUAGGAGAAUUAAACCAUCUGUUCCUUCCUCUAUUGCAUCUAGAAGGCAAUACAAUCUAUUUGCAUCAUUAAAAACA